rnacentral:lncRNA from 1 species
UUGGGUUCACGUCCAACGGUGGGGGUUGCGACCGAGCUCGCAACCGGAGUCGUCCAUAUCGGACCAUGCACAUGUGGUGUGCAGGUUGGCCGAGCUCGUGUCCAAAGGCGGAGGCCAUGGAUAGAUCACGGAAUUAAUUUUUUAUUGCCUUGGUGAAUUUGGCGUCGGAGCAGUAGAUGCUGUCGUGCCUUGAUUUUUUUGGCACUCCAUGGUAAUGU